AUUGCCAGACUGCUACUGGACAAAUACUGCUACUGGACCAUCAGUCAGGGUGGAAGAACACGACGAAAGCUGCUGUGUCCAACAGAGUCUCAUCGCAUCGAUAUCAAGGGCCCAGUGUUUCUGGGGGUUCAGAUUUAUCCUUCUGAGAGGCACGAGUCCAGAUCUGUGAGCUUCACUGAGGAACAGGCUCACUAACAGAUUCCCAUGAACGAGGUCAACAUUGUCUGCGAUGUCACCACUGUUAACGGAGAAAGGAGACUCCGUCCAGUGCAUUGAGCUCUAUGACAUCUUCCCCCGGACCAUCAGUGGAGUCUGGCAGCCCUUUGUCUCUGUGGUGACACUGGGCAACCCGCUUCAGGACCAG